CACGAGCAAAGACUCGCAAGGCGUCUGUGGAGGUCCAAGCUGAGAAGUUGCAGAACCGUAGCUCCCAGCAACAUGAUAGUGAGCCAGACUCAGACACAAAUGUCAAUGAUCUGUGCAAGCCUAGUGAAAGUUCACUGUGUGAUGCCCCUACAUCUGGAGGAGUAUCUGUGAAACGACACCGUGCCACAAAAAAGUUUAGGUUGGUUCCAAAAACAAACAACACGAGGAAGGGGACAGCUUCUUUGGUGCCGCACCAGCUUGACUUUCCAGUUCAUUUCUUACCUAUUGGGAAAACAAAGUUUCCUUUCUUCAACCAAGAGGAGAGCAAAAAGUGGAGGCUGCCCGGAACAAACACUAUCUAUAAUGUUCUUGCUGUGCCCUCAUCCCUCUUAGCAUCAGA